rnacentral:lncRNA from 1 species
UGGAUGCCCUUGUUCAAUGGCUGCACAGCUCGAUAAAGGCAGUGCCCAGGUCGUUUGCCUGCAUAGUUUUGCAGCCCUUUUGAUAGACCAGAUGGGAGUGAUGACUUCCUUAACCCCUAUCAGACACAGAGCAUCGCCUCAGCCUCCCAAAGUGCUGGGAUUACAGGCAUGAGCUACCGCGCCCAGCUGAGAUGCUCUUCAAUCUUAUCAGACUUGGCAGUCCCCCAAAAUGCAGACAUCAUUACUCCACAUGCAUGACUAGCUUCUGUUUAAUGGCAUGUUGUUGUUUACUGUUACACAGCACUAUGACAUCCAUCCAUUAUUAGCCCACUUAACAAAUGAAGAAACUGAGGCUCAGAACGGUGAAGUGAUUUAUCCGUGGGCAGGUAGAUGGAGUGAUGCAGUGGAGUGAGAACCCUGGGCCUGAUGUUUGACUCUUCACCUGCCCAUGUACCUAUCACAAAGGAAAACAUCAUCUGAGAGCUUACAUAUUGCAGGCCGUUUGAGUACAGACAGACAUACCCCAGAGUUGGGGUGCCCAUUAGCAGAUCACACAGGCCUCUGCAGCUGUGUUUUGAUUAGCGGAAGAGGUUCUUUGGCAUCGGAGAACUGAAAUCACCUUUUAGGGUAUGACAAGCUCAGCCGAGCGUCUCGCAAAUGAAAAUCAGAGGUUUCUCUAAGGAAGGAGUGAGAGCGACCAUACAGAAUUAAAAGGAGAAUAACCUUUAAUGGUUUCAGGUGUGAACGCUCAGUGACACUGAAGGCCUGCCAUCCAUGAGACAGCACGAUGUUCCAGGAUCUCUCCAGGCCCACAUUCACCCCCAUAUAUGCCUCUGGAAGGAGGGGACAGC